rnacentral:rRNA from 1 species
GCUGGCGGCGUGCCUAACACAUGCAAGUCGAACGGUAACAGGGCUAGCUUGCUAGCCGCUGACGAGUGGCGCACGGGUGAGUAACGCGUGGGUAACCUGCCCAUCAGUGGGGAAAAACUCCGGGAAACCGGAGCUAAUACCGCAUACGACCUUCGGGUGAAAGAGGGGGAUCUUCGGACCUCUCGCUGAUAGAUGGGCCCGCGUCCGAUUAGCUUGUUGGUGAGGUAAUGGCUCACCAAGGCUGCGAUCGGUAACUGGUUUGAGAGGAUGAUCAGUCACACUGGAACUGAGACACGGUCCAGACUCCUACGGGAGGCAGCAGUGGGGAAUUUUGCACAAUGGGCGAAAGCCUGAUGCAGCGACGCCGCGUGCGGGAAGAAGGCCUUCGGGUUGUAAACCGCUUUCAACAGGGAAGAAGGAAUGAGGGUCAAUACCCCUCUGCCUUGACGGUACCUGUAGAAGAAGCACCGGCUAAUUUCGUGCCAGCAGCCGCGGUAAUACGAAAGGUGCAAGCGUUGUUCGGAUUUACUGGGCGUAAAGCGCGCGUAGGCGGCUAAUCAAGUCGGAUGUGAAAUCCCGGGGCUCAACCCCGGAACUGCAUUCGAAACUGGUUGGCUAGAGUUCGAGAGGGGGAUGCGGAAUUCCGAGUGUAGCAGUGAAAUGCGUAGAUAUUCGGAGGAACACCUGAGGCGAAGGCGGCAUCCUGGAUCGACACUGACGCUGAGGUGCGAAAGCGUGGGUAGCAAACAGGAUUAGAUACCCUGGUAGUCCACGCCCUAAACGAUGUCUACUAGCCGUUGCGGGUAUCGACCCCUGCAGUGGCAAAGCUAACGCGAUAAGUAGACCGCCUGGGGAGUACG